GACGAACGCUGGCGGCGUGCCUAAUACAUGCAAGUGGGACGCAAGGAAACACACUGUGCUUGCACACCGUGUUUUCUUGAGUCGCGAACGGGUGAGUAACGCGUAGGUAACCUGCCUAUUAGCGGGGGAUAACUAUUGGAAACGAUAGCUAAUACCGCAUAAUAUUAAUUAUUGCAUGAUAAUUGAUUGAAAGAUGCAAGCGCAUCACUAGUAGAUGGACCUGCGUUGUAUUAGCUAGUUGGUAAGGUAAGAGCUUACCAAGGAGACGAUACAUAGCCGACCUGAGAGGGUGAUCGGCCACACUGGGACUGAGACACGGCCCAGACUCCUACGGGAGGCAGCAGUAGGGAAUCUUCGGCAAUGGACGAAAGUCUGACCGAGCAACGCCGCGUGAGUGAAGAAGGUUUUCGGAUCGUAAAGCUCUGUUGUAAGUCAAGAACGUGUGUGAGAGUGGAAAGUUCACACAGUGACGGUAGCUUACCAGAAAGGGACGGCUAACUACGUG
rnacentral:rRNA from 1 species